UGACCGAUAGUGAACCAGUACCGUGAGGGAAAGGUGAAAAGCACCCCGACGAGGGGAGUGAAAUAGUACCUGAAACUGGAUGCAUACAAACAGUCGGAGCCCGCAAGGGUGACGGCGUACCUCUUGUAUAAUGGGUCAUCGACUUAGUCUGUCUAGCAAGCUUAAGCCGUUAGGUGUAGGCGCAGCGAAAGCGAGUCUUAAACGGGCGUUUAAGUUCGUCGGAUUAGACCCGAAGCCGAGUGAUCUAGCCAUGGGCAGGUUGAAGGUGCGGUAACACGCCCUGGAGGACCGAACCCACGUCUGUUGAAAAAGACGGGGAUGACCUGUGGUUAGGGGUGAAAGGCCAAUCAAACUCGGAAAUAGCUGGUUCUCCGCGAAAGAUAUUUAGGUAUCGCCUCGGACGAAUACCUUGGGGGGUAGAGCACUGGAUGGGCUAGGGGGUC
rnacentral:rRNA from 11 species